rnacentral:lncRNA from 1 species
UCCCUCAGGCACCCAUUCCCUGCCCACCACUCCGUUCUGCUCCUUGCAGAAGAAUGAGCGAGAAACGAAGUGGCUGGAACAGUAUCAGGCACAGCAGCCGAAGGCUGCCCUGAGACGGUUCCAGGUCCUGCUGCAGAAGAUGAAGGCGCUGGAGGACACCGCACGGCACCAUGAGAAGGCAGGUGCCAGGCUCGCCUAGGCAGGGGCUGCACAUGGGAAACUGUAGUGCCCCCAGCCUCACCUCAUGCUCCACCCCAAAGGUGCUAGAAAAGAUGGAGCAGGUGCUGGAGGACCAGCUGCUGCAGGAGAGAAAGGAGCACCGCGCCCCCCAGCAGGCGGCUGGGAAAGCCGCACGCAGGAUCUCCUGGCCAGUACUACAGACAAGUUUAACCUCAUGGCCAAGAUGGAGCAGGUGCAGAGCCGUAUAAAAGCCAG